rfam:Spinacia oleracea cultivar SynViroflay scaffold86770.con0007.1, whole genome shotgun sequence.
CCAUAGCCCUGAUCGAAGCGGCAUCCCCGAUAUUUCAACGGGAUAAAGCGAAGAGCAGGACUAACA